rnacentral:rRNA from 1 species
AACGAACGCUGGCGGCGCGUCUUAAGCAUGCAAGUCGAACGGCAAGAGAGGAGCUUGCUUCUCUCCUAGAGUGGCGGACUGGUGAGGAACACGUGGGUAAUCUACCCUUAAGAUGGGGAUAGCUGCUAGAAAUAGCAGAUAAUACCGAAUACACUCAAUAUUUCAUAAGAAGUAUUGAGGAAAGGAAGCUACGGCUUCGCUUGAGGAUGAGCUUGCGUCCCAUUAACUGGUUGGUGAGGUAACGGCCCACCAAGGCGACGAUGGGUAUCCGGCCUGAGAGGGUGAACGGACACAUUGGGACUGAGAUACGGCCCAAACUCCUACGGGAGGCAGCAGCUAAGAAUAUUCCGCAAUGGACGAAAGUCUGACGGAGCGACGCCGCGUGGAUGAAGAAGGCUGAAAAGUUGUAAAAUCCUUUUGUUGAUGAAGAAUAAGGGGGAGAGGGAAUGCUUCUCUAAUGACGGUAAUCGGCGAAUAAGCCCCG